UACGUAGGGAGCAAGCGUUGUCCGGAAUCAUUGGGCGUAAAGCGCGCGUAGGUGGCUUCGUAAGUCCGUUGUGAAAGUCAAAGGCUCAACCUUUGAAAGCCGAUGGAUACUGUGAAGCUAGAGUCCGGAAGAGGCGAGUGGAAUUCCUGGUGUAGCGGUGGAAUGCGCAGAUAUCAGGAGGAACACCAAUAGCGAAGGCAGCUCGCUGGGACGGUACUGACGCUAAGGCGCGAAAGCGUGGGGAGCGAACAGG
rnacentral:rRNA from 1 species